UUUAAGGCCUGGCUUGACAAAGCCCUGGCUGGGAUGAUUUAGUUGGGGUUGGUCCUGCAUGGAGCAGGGUGCUGGUCUAGAUGACCUGCUGAUGUCUCUUCCAAUCCUAAUCUUCUAUGAUUCUACAAGCAGAAAUUCAGUGUAAG